UUCCAAGAGUCCUGGUAGUUUCUAUAGUACAGAGGGCACUUCUGGCACUUGGUAUCACAGAACCAAGACAUGCUCGCUACACACUGGAAGCACAGCAUCUCUCCUGGAGUCUUGGACAAGGAGCAGUUACAGAAACUCCAAUUAGGGACAGAGGGGAAAGAGCACUGAAAUGAGAACCCAAAUCAAGGCUUGGCUUUGGGCUUGGGCUGUGAUUCUGACACAUCCAGGCAGGCAGCUAAAGCCAGAGAAAAGCUCUUUUUCCGGGAAGCACUGUGACUGACCCGGAUGCAGGCCAGCAAAAAGAAGACUCAUUUAGGGUGAGUGUUCAGUGGGUUUAGAGCACCAUCCAAUCCACAGAGGGAUGCAAUAUGCUCCUCCCUAUGGGGUAGCUUGCCCCGGCCUUCUCACUUAGCUCCAGAAGGCCAGGAUUUUUGAUUCCUUUAUUCAUUCAGCCUAGUUUUACUGCUGUCUGUUCUGCUCCAGGCCCUGUGCUGGGUGCAGAGGACACAGAAAGGAAUCAGGCACAGUCCUUAUCCUUAGGGAGUUCAGAAUCCAAUAGAAAAAGCAUUUUUAUAAAGAAAUCACUGUAAUUCAAGGUAAAAAGGAUAGAGGAUUCAUACAGACUUGGCCCUCAAGGAAUUCACAACCCAGCAGAUGCCUAGAGGGCACAAGACAGACAAUAAUGAUAUAUUGCACCCUGUAGUAAUGACCAGAGGGAGGGAGGCUCCAACUAUGCACUAUGCAGGAGCAAGGAAAGGAUGACAUGACAUAUAUUGAAUAAUGCAGUGGGGAAAACGCACAGCCUACUGAAGAAGACAGAGCAGCCUAAUCUGGCUGACGUAGAAGUAUUGAAACCUACUGCCCUGUAGAGGAGGCAGGGGAGGCAGCCUUAUGUUGACCUCUGUGGGUGCCUUGGGCUACCCAAGAAACAAGGUGCAAUGUCUCUUAUCUAUGGCUACAGUUGCAUGAUAUCCCAAGGAUAUGAGGGGAGAUCGGUGACCAGGAGAAACAGAUCCAAAUAAACCACCAAAUAACAAGGGCCUGAAAUAAAAAUAGUAGGAGCCUAGGAGUGAAGGCAUCAGGGGUUUGGGAGCAUGAGCAGGACCAGCAAGUUGAAGGGGUAGGAGGUGGAUUUGGACACAGACCAGCAGCAGGAGGCCCCUACCUAUGCUUUCUUGCUCUCCCAGUGAUGAGCCAUGUGUGCUGGAUGGAUCCAUUCUAAGUGUCCAAAGAUAGGGUGGGAGCCUCUGGGGGCAAAGGGACCACAGCCUCUAUAGUCCUCUUCAUGCCUCUAGAUUAGAGGCCUCCAGUCUACCUUCCUCUUUUCUUCACAGCUGCCAUUACCUGCCCCAUCUUUUUCAUUCUACCAACGUGAGAGGGCCUGAAAUGGACUGUUAGGAUGCCAGUGUCGCAAGAAGUUCCCAAGGGCCUGGAAAGCCUAAGGUACUUGGCACAAAGAGAGUCAGAGUGCCUACAGCAGUUUCUGUUGGUCACCUGGAACAUGAACGAGUUAAACCAGCUUAAAGUUACAGGGCUGGGUAGGAACCUAUCAAUAGCCUAAACUGCCAGCCUGUGUGGGCCUCUGUCCCUUCCCCCACAUUUUGGCAAACAGCUCCAGCCUGUUGUCAUUUCUUCUUCACAGCAGCCACCACCCACACCACCUCUCCAGCCUAGGUCUCAUAUCUGGGCCAUGUUCUCUCUCCUCCUAAACAUGCCGGGACUCCUUCCUUGCUGUUCUUUCUUCAUAGCUGCCAUUGCCAACUCUGUUCCUCUUCCUAAUCCUCAUUCUGGAUUCCCUUUGUCCCCAACCCUCUUUUCUUGCUUUUCAUUCUCUUCAUCCUUUAGACCCUGUUAGAGAAGGAAGCCAUCCCCACGGUUCCUAUCUAUUUGGGGUAUGGUGCUCAGGAAAGCUUUGCAGAACAAGAAGCUUCCACUAGUCAGGAAUGGGUUGCCCUUCCCCUGUUCCUCCUUGUACCACCAAUUCUGUCACCCCCUCCACUGCCAACUUGACAGAGAUCUUCUCUGAGUGGGCUUCAUACAAAGAGAGAUUUGUUUAGAGAUUUGUGUGGAGAUUUGUAUUCAUUAUCUCAGCCAAAAACGGAAGGCUCUACAUGCCAGACUAAAUGUAAAAACCCUUCAGUAGGCUAUUGAGGAGCCACAAAUGAUUUUCAACCAGGGAAUGGCAAUAGAAAGCACCUUACAUUAUGCACAGCUCUCGAAAAUAUUUAGAUAAAUGUACAAAUGAGUGAAUAAGUGAUCAUAACUGUGUACUAGGAGGAUAACUUUGACAAAUGGGUGAGAGGCUGAGGGAAUUUUAAAAAGUCACUCUAAGCCAUGGGCUUAAAGCCAUAUGCAGAAGUAGGUGAAGUUAAUCUCUACCUUCAUCCUGGUAGACUCUCCCCCAUAUGACAGGUACAACUGCAACCCCUGCCUCCUGGGCUCUGUUCUACAACCAAGACUUGCUUUCCAGGCCAUUACUUGGCACCAAAUUUAGUUAUUUGAUACAAGUUGGAGGUAUUCUUCUCCUAAAAUAGGGAGAAAAACCGUAUCUUUGAUAGAAUUUCUGUUAUAAUAACAGGCUAUGGAGAACUGAAUCUAAAAUAAGAGGAACCAAUCUGGUAUCAUCUGAGACAUUCAGCACUGGCAAAUUUCAGCCCCAAAUCUAUCAAAGAGGCAUCUCGACUUCACAAACAGUGAUUGCAGUAGGUACAAAAAAUAGGCCUGAUUCAGAGGUCUGGAGUCCAGAGACCUUCCUAAUGGUGAAGACCUUCUUCAUGUGUAAAAAGGAGUGACUAGCCCAGAGCAAUAUUCUGAGGGAAAAAAAAAAAAAAAACAAAAAAACAGACCUGGGGGAAACCCAGCGACCUGGCCAAGCCCUGGGGCUGCUGACUCCAAGCACAAUGAAGAUACAACUAAGACAAUGACAUUAGGAGCUACCAUCACCCCAACUUAAAGCCCAACAUCUACAAACCAGCUGCCCUGAUUUGCUUGAAUUUUCUCACACUUCUAGCCCCAUAAACUGUGAGCUCCUUGAGGGCAGAGAACAUGGGAAGUUUUGUCUAAUGCUUUAAAGUCCUGAUCCGUGUCCUUUUCUCAUCAGGCACCAUCCUAGUACACGUACUUCAGGUUCAUCUUUCAUAGGAGUGAUGCCAUCAGAAACAGUAAGUAUCAUCCUUGGGGGCCACUGGCUUUGAGUUUCUCAUUUUAUUCCUAGGAAAUAAGCAUUCUGGCUGAGGAAGGGACGAUUGAGCAGAGCUGCAAAGCUGGAGAAGGUAGGUGACCUCAUGAUUCUACUGUUCUGCCCAAUUCCUCUAGGAUAGAGAGCCUGUAGAGUUCUAAGCAUGAUUAGAAGGGUGAGGGUGUGUUUGUUCUUAAUAAACCAGAUCUUCCUUUGUGCCAGAACACCUGCUUGUAGCCUCACACCUGGAUGAGUGGUGAGUCAUUGGAAAAGAUGAAUCCUCUGACUUCCAUUUCGAGAUCAGAGUCCUAUCAGAGACCUAUACAGCCAGGACUCACUGAUCAUGGACUAUGCAGUCACUCUGCUGUUCCUAGGAAUGGGA
rnacentral:lncRNA from 1 species